ACGUGUGCUCAUCCGUUCUGCGAAGGUAGUCAAUGAGUUGCUUUGGGAAAAGUAAGUUUGAGCUGGCAAAGAUUAUAUUGAAAAUGAGAUUAGAAUGGGGUAUUAAUUUUCUAUUCCAGCCCCAUAUAACCACACCUGUGGUAUAGACACUCCACCUGCAUGUAUACGUGGACUUCUUUUGCUAGAACUUACUUCCACGCACAUAUCCAAAGAAAGAGUCUACUGAUUGGAAGUUCUUUGCAAAUGGUCUGUCAAAAGCAGGCACUCAACAAAUAUUAGUUACAUGAGUAAAUAAAAGAAAUUAAAGCACCGUUCCAGUGAAAUAAAGUCCUGUCUCGUUAUAUAUUCCCUUCCUUCUGUUUAGUACAUUUUUUUUGCAAUUAAUAUUUUCUUAAUGAUAGAUUUUAAAUUGUAAAUUCUCCAUUAAUAGACAAGACUAUAACUUGUGGAUUUGAAGAUAUGAUCCUUUUGAAGUGUCUGGAAAAAAAAAUCAAUAGGAAAGUAGAUUCUACAGCUAACAAAAGAAUAGCAAGCAAUCACACCAAGUUCUUAGCUCUACUGUAGAAUAUUUUAAGAUGAACCAAGCUCGUUUUUUUCAGGGAGAUUAGACCAUAGAAUUAUUAUUAUCAUUAUCAUUGCUUCACAUCUAAGUAUUAGCAACAUUUUUUUCUUGAUAUGCACUGAUUUUUCUGUCAUGAUAAUAUUAUAAUUUUAGGCAUGAUAUAACACUAAAAUCAACUGAUUAAGUGUAACUUCAGCAAUUUAAAAUGUGACCAGCAAGUAAGAAGCAGGGGUGCUUUUAUUAACUUUUAGAAACAUAGGCAAUGCUGUUUCUUGUUGUUAAUGAACUGAAGUAUGAGAAGAGAGAUGCAACUAGCCCACAUGGUCCAUUUUAAUUGUGCCCACAUGACCCAGGCUUUUCGGCAUGUGAAGACACCAUAAUAUUUCAAAUAGGAAACUCUGGACAGAAGCCUUACUUAGUCUGACUAAUCAAAGCACAUCUGUGUUAUAGGUAAAAUUGAAAGGCACAACUAACCAGUCACCCAUUCCAUACAGAGCUGCCUGCAGGCCACCAGCUGUCAUCUUGGGACCCCUCAGAGAAGAGCAAUGUUCUUCCUCCUCUGAGGGGAGCAGGGAUUAAAAUAAUCCCUGGGGAUGACUC